rnacentral:lncRNA from 1 species
GAGGAAUGCAGCCAUUGGCAGACUGUGAUGAGGCAGGGAGGAAGUGGGAAUGGGCUGGGGGAGACAAAUGCUCUGACGAUACCCUCCUGGAGCCUUCUCAUCUUCUGCUGGCCCUGCAUCGAUUGGACACAAUCAAAGCCAGAGAUUAAGGUCAGCCUUCCAGACACAGAACACAGCAGAGAAGGGCAGAGAAUGGAUCUGGGUUCGGGGAGUACAGUGUCCAGCGCAUAGUAGGUGCUCAAUAAAUGCUUGCUAAAGUGCAUUGAGCUGACUUGGGAAUGGCUCACACAAAGACAAAAGGCAUGUUCUACCAUGGCACUUAGCUGCAAGGUGGGGAGCUGCAUAUGUACAUCCUGAGCUGCUUUGCCACUGCUGUGAAAGCAGAGAAGGGUUGAGUCCCUGGAAAAGGAAUUUGGGAGAAUGAAAUGUUCCAGGGGAUGCCUGGCAUGUGACGAUGCUACAGAUUGAAUGCAGAAGCAGGCACGAGAACCCAAGUCUUCUUCGAAGCUAGUCAUCAAAGAAGUCUGCAAGAAUGGAAAACAGUGCCACUCUUCUCACUAUUUUUUUUGGAAAAUAGUUAUUUUAUGUAAAAAUAGAUAUUUAUGUUAAUAUGCAAUGAGUUUAUUAGUUACUUUAAAGAUGAAUUAGUGUGUACACUUGUAGAGAUUUCUCAAUUUUAAUUUCUGAUAUGGCAAGUAUUGACAGAUGUUACCUACAUAAACAAGAGCUCUUUGGGGUCCUCACUCAUUUUUAAGACCGUGAAGUCAUCCCGGGAUUAAACGUUUGAGAAUCACUCACUGCCUUAGGGUAAUGUUAAGUCCCUGGCAAUGAACGGGGGAAGGGAAUUUACCUUUUUUCUGCUUGCAUCUUCGUUUUAAUACUGAAGUUAUAUUGAAUGAAUGAUAGUACUUCUCAUCCUGUGGAGAUAGCCCCAUGGAGACAGGAGAAUGUGCAGCGAAUAGUGGAAAGAUCAUGCAUGAAAUUUAGUCAGACAGUCCUGUCUUUAACUUAAAGUUCCUCUGGGCAAGUGAUUGUGAUCAAAUUACUUGCUAUUUCUGAACUGCAAUUUCUCAUUGGUAAAAUGUAGAUGGUAACAGCUACCCAACUCACUGAAAUUUUGUGGAGAUUAAAUGAUGUGUUUGCGAAACCAUCAAACCUGUUGCCAGGUACGUAACAGGUGCUCCAUAAAUAUUAGCCUCCCUUCCUCCCUCUCAGGGUGCUCCAAGCGCAGUCCUUUUAGAGUCACCAAUAGGAAUUCUUGUCUGAAGUGGUUCACAAACAUAGUUCAACCUGGUCUCUGGCC